AUACGGAGGAUCCGAGCGUUAUCCGGAUUUAUUGGGUUUAAAGGGUGCGCAGGCGGGAGAUUAAGUCGGCGGUGAAAUUUUGCAGAUGAACUGGAAAAGAGCCCUCGUAACUGGUGUUCUUGAGUGGUGCUGAAGGAGGGGGGAUUUGUGGUGUAGCGGUGAAAUGCAUAGAUAUCACGAGGAACUCCGAUUGCGCAGGCAGCUUACUAAACUACUACUGACGCUCAGGCACGAAGGCGUGGGGAUCAAACAGGAUUAGAUACCCUGGUAGUCCACGCAGUAAACGAUGAUUACUAGCUGUUUGCGAUACAAUGUAAGCGGCUGAGCGAAAGCGUUAAGUAAUCCACCUGGGGAGUACGUUCGCAAGAAUGAAACUCAAAGGAAUUGGCGGGG
rnacentral:rRNA from 1 species